GACACAUUGGUUUUCGCACUCUAACUUUAGUUUAAGUGAAUGGAUCUCUAUGAAAUUUUACCAUAAGGAUUGAUUUUGGGGGUUAUGGUACCAACAGUUAAGGAAUUAGGGGCCAAAAAGGGGCAAAAAAUAAGCAUUUUUGUAACUUCCAGACAUAACUUGUGUGUUAGUGUAUGGAUCUCUCUGACAUUGUACCACAAGGUUCCAUAUCACACAGGGAAUGCUGGGAUUGAUUUUGGGGGUAAUUGCCUCAAAAUAUUAGGAAUUAGGGGCCAAAAAAGGGGCAAAAAACAAGCAUUUUUUUAGUUUCAUGACAAUAACUUGUGUGUAAGUGUAUGGAUCUUUCUGAAAUUGUACUACAAGGUUCCAUAUCAUAAAGGGAAAGCUGGAAUUGAGUUUGGGGGUAAUUGCCCAAAACGUUUAGGAAUUUGGGGCCAAAAAGGGGUCAAAAAUAAGCAUUUUUCUAGUUUCCAGACAAUAACUUGUGUUCAAGUGUAAGGAUCUCUCUGAAAUUGUACUGCAAGGUACCAUACCACAAAGGGAAGGCUGGGAUUGAUUUUGGGGGUAAUUGCCUCAAAAUUUUAGGAAUAAGGCGCCAAAAAGGGGCAAAAAACAAGCAUUUUCUAAUUUCAAGACAAUAACUUGUGUGUAAGUGUAUGGAUCUUUAUGAAAUUGUACUACAAGGUUCUAUAUCACAAAGGGCAAGCUGGGUUUGAGUUUGGGGGUAAUUGCCCUAAACGUUUAGGAAUUUGGGGCCAAAAAGGGGCCAAAAAAACAAGCAUUUUUCUAGUUUCCAGACAAUAACUUGUGCAUAAGUGUAUGGAUCUCUCUGAAAUUGUACUGCAAGGUACCAUACCACAAAGGGAAGGCUGGGAUUGAGUUUGGGGUGAUGAAUCAUAAGGGGGUUCAAAAAAUUGGGGGGGGAUUUUUUUUUCCCUUUUUUUCCUUUUUUUUUCUUUAAAAUUUUCCAUUUUAAAUUGGUUAUUUCUGAUUAAUAUAUAAGCAAAUAAUAAUGAUAUGGUUUGAAUAGGUAAAUUAAAAUUUUUUAAGUUCUUAGACCACAUUCAUUCUGUGUCAGAAACCUAUGCUGUGUCAAAUAUUUAAUCACAAUCCAAAUUCAGUGCUGUAUCAAGCUUGAAUGUUGUGUCCAUACUUGCCCCAACUGUUCAGGGUUCGACCUCUGUGGUCGUUUCAAGCUGUGCCCAGCGGAGCAUUUUAUUCAUUUUAUCAGAUAUUAUAAGCAUAUGUCUACUUGUUGGUGUAUGGAAUGACUACAAGGUGUCAUAUAAAAAUAAGAAGAUGUCUGUUUGCCAAGUUUAAUAUUACUGUGACCUCAUUUUCAUAGAAUAUUGAUAAUAUCAAGCAAAAAUGAUGAGCAAGACAAGAUACAAAUGAUCCAAAAUUGUCAGUUGCCUACUCAUUAUGUAAUAGUAGUUAUUGUCAUUAAAUGAUAAUGUUUACCCUUUUAUGUGUAGGGCAAGAACAUUAAAGAUAAAGGGAAACUAUAAACAAAAGAAAUUAUCAACAAAAAUAGAUUUACAGACGUCAACAAAGCCUAAAUGGUCAGACAUCUUGGUUUUCAUGAUCAUCAUUCAACAGGUCAAUACUGAACAGCAAACUUAAAGUUGAUAUUUUUCUACAUAGUGUGACUUUUUUAUUAAUUUGAAAUGGAAUGUGUUUUUUUCCUACAUAAGAAAGAGGAAAUUUCAACAUAAUUACUAUAAACAAAAAGGAGUCAUAUCAUCAUGAUCUUAGAUGCUCAAGAACUUAAUCAUGUAAAUGCAACAACGUAAUUAUCAAUUGAAAGAAGGGAGGAAUGAAAAAAUAUAUUAGUAUUUUGUUGUCCAAAUGAACUUGCUUUGUCCACUCAUUUAAAUCGCUCCAUCCAAUAAAGAUGUACGGAGGAAGAUUUUUGAAGAACAGAUUGCAUAAAUGUUUUGUCUUAGAAUUGUAGGAAUAUUCUAGUGGAUGAAAUAAUUUAUUUACUUGACUCUUAUAUAGUGGACUGAAUAAUUGUUCAUAGCAAGCUGAAACAAGAAAACUAAAACUUAACAGGAAAAGUGUUUAUUUUAUAAAUUUACAAAUAUAAAUGUAAUAUUAUGAACACCACAAAGGAAUAAGAUUCAAAUCAUUUGCAUAUUCAUGUAUUGCAAUGGAACUAUAACAAAGAAAACUUUACCUCAUGAAAAGAGUAAACUAUUAACUGUGCUUUGUCAAUUUAUUCAGUCAGAAUAUGAAAUAUUUUUAUCAGUUCUAUUUUUCAUAAUAAAACAAAGAAGACAAAGAUUUCAAAUCAAUAUUUUUUUCUUUUAUUAAGACGUCAUCAUUUUAUUUCAGUUAAAGGAUUUUAUUUUUUGACUUUAAAUAUUAUUAUAUUUCCAAAAUAAUAAUAAUCUUUAUUGUCAUAUAAACAAAUUAAAAACAUGUUUGUGACAAAAUGAAAAAAACCAAAAUACACUCAUAUAUAUAUUAUAAACUUUUUACUACCAAACAGAAUUCAUUGUAACAUACACAUUACUGUAUAUUUAUAAUUUGAAUUCCAUAGGAUUUUAUUUUGUCCCAUGGGAUAUUAAAAAUCCCAUGGGAUAAUUAUAGUCCCAUGGGAU